rnacentral:rRNA from 1 species
CAGCCGCCGCGGUAAUACCGGCGGCCCGAGUGGUGGCCGCUAUUAUUGGGCCUAAAGCGUCCGUAGCCGGGCCCGUAAGUCCCUGGCGAAAUCCCACGGCUCAACCGUGGGGCUUGCUGGGGAUACUGCUGGCCUAGGGACCGGGAGAGGCCGAGGGUAUUCCCGGGGUAGGGGUGAAAUCCUGUAAUCCCGGGAGGACCACCUGUGGCGAAGGCGCUCGGCUGGAACGGGUCCGACGGUGAGGGACGAAGGCCAGGGGAGCGAACCGGAUUAGAUACCCGGGUAGUCCUGGCGGUAAACGAUGCGGACUAGGUGUCGGGUAAGCUAAGGGCUUGUCCGGUGCCGCAGGGAAGCCGUUAAGUCCGCCGCCUGGGGAGUACGGCCGCAAGGUUGAAACUUAAAGGAAUUGGCGGG